rnacentral:rRNA from 1 species
UACGGAGGGUGCAAGCGUUAUCCGGAUUCACUGGGCUUAAAGGGUGCGUAGGCGGGUUGGUAAGUCAGUGGUGAAAUCCCCGAGCUUAACUUGGGAACUGCCAUUGAUACUAUCAGUCUUGAAUACCGUGGAGGUCGGCGGAAUAUGUCAUGUAGCGGUGAAAUGCUCAGAUAUGACAUAGAACACCAAUUGCGAAGGCAGCUGACUACGCGAGUAUUGACACUGAGGCACGAAAGCGUGGGGAUCAAACAGG